rnacentral:misc_RNA from 1 species
UCACACCUUACGGUGGCAGUCUCACUAGAGUCCUCAGCUUAACCUGUUAGUAACUAAUGAUAGGGGUUGCGCUCGUUAUGGCACUUAAGCCGACACCUCACGGCACGAGCUGACGACAACCAUGCAGCACCUACACAUCUGCUAUUGCUAGAAGACAAGUUUCCUCGUCGGUCAGAUGCAUUUCAAGCCCGGGUAAGGUUCCUCGCGUAUCAUCGAAUUAAACCACAUGUUCCUCCGCUUGUGCGGGCCCCCGUCAAUUCCUUUGAGUUUCAUUCUUGCGAACGUACUCCCCAGGUGGAAUACUUAACGCUUUCGCUUUGCCACAUACAGUAUAUCGCAUACAGCUAGUAUUCAUCGUUUACUGCGUGGACUAC